AACGAACGCUGGCGGCGCGCUUAACACAUGCAAGUCGAGCGCCUUGGGCCUUCGGGCCCGAGGAGCGGCGCACGGGUGCGUAACGCGUGGGAACCUACCUUGGGGUUCGGGACAACGGCGGGAAACCGCCGCUAACACCGGCUACGGCCGUGGCGACACGGCGAAAGGCGCUUUGGCGCCGCCCCGGGACGGGCCCGCGUCCGAUUAGGUAGACGGUGGGGUAACGGCCCACCGUGCCGUUGAUCGGUAGCCGGUCUGAGAGGANGAUCGGCCACACUGGGACUGAGACACGGCCCAGACUCCUACGGGAGGCAGCAGUGGGGAAUCUUGGACAAUGGGGGCAACCCUGAUCCAGCGACGCCGCGUGGGUGAUGAAGGCCU
rnacentral:rRNA from 1 species